GACGAACGCUGGCGGCGUGCUUAACACAUGCAAGUCGAACGGAACGGCUCCUUCUUGCGGGGGUCCUCGAGUGGCGAACGGGUGAGUAACACGUGGGUGAUCUGCCCUGCACUUCGGGAUAAGCUUAGGAAACUGGGUCUAAUCCCGGAUAGGACGUUGGGUUGGAUGCUAUGGCGGAGAGUUUUUUCGGUGUGGGGUGAGCACGCGGCCUAUCAGCUUGUUGGUGGGUGAGUGGCCUACCAAGGCGUCGACGGGUAGCCGGCCGGUGAGGGGGGACGGCCACAUUGGGUCGGAGUUACGCCCCACACACCUACGGGAGGCAGCAGUGGGGAAGAUUGCACAAAGGGCGCAAGCCUGCCGCAGCGACCCCGCGUGGGGGAGGACGGCCUUCGGGUGGUAAACACCUCUCGCUAGGGAGGAAGCGCAGUGACGGUACCUGGAGAAGAAGCACCGGCUAACUACGUG
rnacentral:rRNA from 1 species